rnacentral:rRNA from 1 species
AUUGAACGCUGGCGGCAGGCUUAACACAUGCAAGUCGAGCGGAGAGAAGUAGCUUGCUACUGAUCUUAGCGGCGGACGGGUGAGUAAUGCCUAUGAAUCUGCCUAUUAGUGGGGGACAACAUUUCGAAAGGAAUGCUAAUACCGCAUACGUCCUACGGGAGAAAGCAGGGGAUCUUCGGACCUUGCGCUAAUAGAUGAGCCUAAGUCGGAUUAGCUAGUUGGUGGGGUAAAGGCCUACAGAGGUGAAGAUCUGUAGCGGGUCUGAGCGGAUGAUCCGCCACACUGGGACUGAGACACGGCCCAGCCUCCUACGGGAGGCAGCAGUGGGGAAUAUUGGACAAUGGGCGGAAGCCUGAUCCAGCCAUGCCGCGUGCGUGAAGAAGGCCUUAUGGUUGUAAAGCACUUUAAGCGAGGAGGAGGCUACUUUAGUUAAUACCUAGAGAUAGUGGACGUUACUCGCAGAAUAAGCACCGGCUAACUCUGUGCCGGCAGCAGCCGCCGUA